CAGCAGCCGCGGGAAUACGAAGGGGGCUAGCGUUGUUCGGAAUCACUGGGCGUAAAGCGCACGUAGGCGGACUUUUAAGUCAGAGGUGAAAUCCCAAGGCUCAACCUUGGAACUGCCUUUGAUACUGGGAGUCUUGAGUUCGGGAGAGGUGAGUGGAACUGCGAGUGUAGAGGUGAAAUUCGUAGAUAUUCGCAAGAACACCAGUGGCGAAGGCGGCUCACUGGCCCGAUACUGACGCUGAGGUGCGAAGGCGUGGGGAGCAAACAGGAUUAGAUACCCCAGUAGUCCCUGUCUCUUAUAC
rnacentral:rRNA from 1 species